rnacentral:rRNA from 1 species
CCUACGGGGGGCAGCAGUGGGGAAUAUUGCGCAAUGGGCGAAAGCCUGACGCAGCGACGCCGCGUGAGGGAUGAAGGUCUUCGGUAUGUAAAGCUCUAUCAGCAGGGAAGAAAAUGACGGUACCUGAUUAAGAAGCCCCGGCUAACUACGUGCCAGCAGCCGCGGUAAUACGUAGGGGGCAAGCGUUAUCCGGAUUUACUGGGUGUAAAGGGAGCGUAGACGGCAGCGCAAGUCUGAAGUGAAAUGCCGGGGCUUAACCCCGGAACUGCUUUGGAAACUGUGCAGCUAGAGUGCAGGAGAGGUAAGUGGAAUUCCUAGUGUAGCGGUGAAAUGCGUAGAUAUUAGGAGGAACACCAGUGGCGAAGGCGGCUUACUGGACUGUAACUGACGUUGAGGCUCGAAAGCGUGGGGAGCAAACAGGAUUAGAUACCCUUGUAGUC